CAGGUGCUGAUAUGCCUGUAACUAGUAAAUCCGCAAUGCAUACACCCAACAACAGUGGAUUUCUCAAUCUUACAGAUGAGGCCGAGCACAGUCUAAUGGCUAACAGUAAGAUUGUUAUCGAUGGAAUAGCAUGUUCAGUGUCUCCACUAGCCUCUGGGCCAUAAGAAUUUGUUAUCGUGAAAUUUCCGUAAUUAUCGUAGUCGAAAUCAUGACCUCCAGGUUCAAGACUUCCACCUCCAUCAUAAGAAUUUUCGUUAAGAAGUGUGUAAUGCAAAACUUGGGUUUUGAUAUUGCCUUGGCUUACGAUAUUAAUAUUGCUAUCGACUGUGGCUUCUAGUUGUUGGUGUCGACGCCAUGUUUCCAGAUGAGUGAAAUCGACUUUUUUCCGCCCAACUUCAUAUAAAAAAAUGGCCUUGCUAAAUUUUUGCGGCGUAAUUUCGUUCCGUAGUUUAAAGCAAAAAAAUCGAUACUCCGAUUCUUGAAUGUAUGUGGAUAUCAAAUAAGCAGUUUCACAUGUGAAAAAAUAGACAACCUAAUAUUCCCAUUCAUAUUCGCAAAGUGAAGCGAACUAUAAAGAUGAAUAAUUAAAAAAAAAAAUAAAAAGAAAGCGUCUGAGGCAUUUUCUCAUGAAU